CACGUAGGGCGCAAGCGUUGUCCGGCAUUAUUGGGCGGAAAGAGCUCGUAGGUGGUUUGUCGCGUUGUCCGUGAAAACUCACAGCUUAACUGUGGGCGUGCGGGCGAUACGGGCAGACUGGAGUACUGCAGGGGAGACUGGAAUUCCUGGUGUAGCGGUGGAAUGCGCAGAUAUCAGGAGGAACACCGGUGGCGAAGGCGGGUCUCUGGGCAGUAACUGACGCUGAGGAGCGAAAGCGUGGGGAGCGAACAGG
rnacentral:rRNA from 1 species